AUGAUCGCCGGCUGCACCAGAAGAUUUCGAAGAUACUCUCCGAUAUUCUGUCGAGACUUUGUGCCCGUUGCCUUUGCAAUUCCCUGCCACGGAAAAUCCCUAUGGAUAAAUACUUACACCUGUCAUUCUUACUUUGAUUCACAUUUGAUCUUGUUAUUACAAGAUACCUCGAGAAUACUUUGUCCCUACUGCCUUGCAGUUCUUUGCCACCUGAAUACCCCUACAAAUAAUUUCUCGCACUUAUCGAGUAUCUGCUCAUCCCCAGUUGAUUCAAGUAAUUCACAAAAUCUUCGAAAUACUAUUUGA
rnacentral:rRNA from 1 species